rnacentral:rRNA from 1 species
GCGAACGCUGGCGGCAGGCUUCACACAUGCCAGUCGAGCGGGCACUUUCGGGUGUCAGCGGCGGACGGGUGAGUAACGCGUGGGAACGUGCCCUCUGGUUCGGAAUAACUCAGGGAAACUUGAGCUAAUACCGGAUACGCCCUUUUGGGGAAAGGCUUGCUGCCGGAGGAUCGGCCCGCGUCUGAUUAGCUAGUUGGUGAGGUAACGGCUCACCAAGGCGACGAUCAGUAGCUGGUCUGAGAGGAUUAUCAGCCACACUGGGACUGAGACACGGCCCAGACUCCUACGGGAGGCAGCAGUGGGGAAUAUUGGACAAUGGGCGCAAGCCUGAUCCAGCCAUGCCGCGUGAGUGAUGAAGGCCUUAGGGUUGUAAAGCUCUUUUAUCCGGGACGAUAAUGACGGUACCGGAGGAAUAAGCCCCGGCUAACUUCGUG